GUUUUGUAACGCCCUGUGGGCUGUACUAUGUUUGUGGAUUGGGAAUAAAAGAGACUGUAGGUGACAGUACAGGGAGUUCCUGUUUUAACCCUCAAAGUGAAGUGUCGUCUCAUUAUUGGGGGAAGGAUUUAUUGUAUGCUGUUCCAGUUUGACUGCUAGGAGAGUAAACCUAUUCAUAUGGUUCCUAUUCAACUGUCUACAGCAUUCAUA